AUAGUCUUUAUUGAUAAAGUUAAUUCAUUUUUCGACUGAAUUUGGCGAUUAAGUUAUUGUAUUUACAGACAUAACCUAUUUAUAUAACUGAUUUGUGGGUAUUUAUUGACAUUUUAUAGUUUUUAUUUAUUGAUUUAAUUAAUUCUGCGUUUGGUUUGGCGAUUAAUUCUGAUAUUGCACUGUGGCCAAUAAAACUUAAAGUUGCUAACCGAUUUUAAUAACUUUUUAUAUUGUAUAGAUAUCUCAAAAUAUAAAAAUUUUGAGAUACCUAGUUCUUACAUUCAGGUGACGAUAUAACUUCAGUUCAAUAAAUCAAUCAAAAAAGUCGUAAACGCCCGUUUAUUUAAGAACUAAUAUUAUCUUUAGUUUCAUCCAAAGGCGCAAUCAUUAUCGUCGUAUUUCAUAUCCAAAAAGUAGGACAAAAUAAUGAGGGAUCAACAGGAGAACAAAUCAUCACCAUUUUUUUUGUCUGUGCGUCAGAGACUGUCGAAGUGGAGGUAUAUUGGGCAGGCCGGUGUACCGAUGGGUCCUUCCCAUACUUUUUUUUUCCAUUCCUCAUAGUUUCUCGAAUCGGAGUCAUCUUCGCAAGUACUGAAUUUCCAUACAUCCAUCAACAUGCCACUGAUAUAUCUAUCGUAUUUAAAUAGACACAAGUUGUUAUAUGUCACAUUGGCUGUUGAACAGACUGGAGCUUGUUACUUCAGUUGUGAACACGAUCAAUGGACACAGCACUGCGGUAAUAUGAAUUAGCUUAAACAUUGCUCAUAACUUAGAUAUGAGAACACUUUUGAAAUUACUCAAAAUGACACUAUGUUGUACUGAUUUAAGAUUAUUAAACGCACUACUUACUCUUAAAUAAAA